CCUACGGGAGGCAGCAGUGGGGAAUAUUGGGCAAUGGGCGCAAGCCUGACCCAGCAACGCCGCGUGAAGGAAGAAGGCUUUCGGGUUGUAAACUUCUUUUCUCAGGGACGAAGCAAGUGACGGUACCUGAGGAAUAAGCCACGGCUAACUACGUGCCAGCAGCCGCGGUAAUACGUAGGUGGCAAGCGUUAUCCGGAUUUACUGGGUGUAAAGGGCGUGUAGGCGGGGACGAAAGUCAAGUGUGAAAACCACGGGCUCCACCUGUGGCAUGGAUUUGAAACUGUGUUUCUUGAGUACUGGUGAGGGAGACGGGAUUCCUAGGGUAGCGGUGAAAAGCGUAGAUAUCAGGAGGAACACCGGCGGCGAAGGCGGCCUGCUGGACCGCGACUGACGUUGAGGCUCGAAAGCGUGGGGAGCGAACAGGAUUAGAUACCCUUGUAGUC
rnacentral:rRNA from 1 species